GCCAGACUCCUACGGGAGGCAGCAGUGGGGGAUAUUGCACAAUGGGGGGAACCCUGAUGCAGCGACGCCGCGUGGGUGAAGGAGCGUUUCGGCGCGUAAAGCCCUAUCGGCAGGGAAGAAGGAGGACGGUACCUGACUAAGAAGCCCCGGCUAACUACGUGCCAGCAGCCGCGGUAAUACGUAGGGGGCAAGCGUUAUCCGGAUUUACUGGGUGUAAAGGGGGCGCAGACGGCAGCGCAAGCCAGGAGUGAAAGCCCGGGGCCCAACCCCGGGACUGCUCUUGGAACUGCGCGGCUGGAGUGCAGGAGGGGCAGGCGGAAUUCCUAGUGUAGCGGUGAAAUGCGUAGAUAUUAGGAGGAACACCAGUGGCGAAGGCGGCCUGCUGGACGACAACUGACGGUGAGGCGCGAAAGCGUGGGGAGCAAACAGGAUUAGAUACCCUCGUAC
rnacentral:rRNA from 1 species